rnacentral:lncRNA from 1 species
UUAGGACAAUUUUUUUUAAUGAAUUUAUGCCACAGGGAUUGUUUCUAUAAUGUAUUUCUCCAACAAGGACCAUUUAUAUAAACAUUUUAUUCUAUAGAGACUGCAUCUGUAAUCAAUUUCUACAUAUUGACUGUUUUUGUAAUGUUUUCUUUUUCCAUAUGGACCGAUUCUGUAAUGAGUUUCUGCCACAUGAACCAAAUCUGUAAUUGUUAUGGGGACAAGGACCAUAUUCUAAAUUUUUUUGAAACAGGGACUAUAUAUAAUGUUUUUUCUGAAACAUGGACUAUAUCUGUAAUAUUUUUCUGAAAUAAGGACCAUAUCUGUAAUAUUUUUAUGCACAUGGACCAAAUCUGUAGUUGUCAUUGUGCACAAGGACUGUUUCUGUAAUGUAUUACCACCACAGAACCAUUUUAUAAAGAUUUUAUGCCAUAUGGACUAAUACUGGAGUGUAUAUAUGCAACAGGGACUGUUUCUAUAAUGUAAUUCUACCACACGGACCAUUUUGUAAGGAUAUUAUGCCAUAGGGACUAUUUAUGUAAUGUAUUUCUGCAAUAGGGAUUGUUUAUGUUAUGUAUUUUCAGUCACAGGGACUGUUUCUGUGAUGUAUUUCUGCCACAAGGAGCAUUUUGUAACCAUAUUAUGCCAUAGGGCCUGUUUAUGUAAUGUAUUUUUGCAACAGGAACAUAUUCAACAUGUUACCAAAUUAUCAUCACUACCUGGUAAACUAUGAAAUAACUUAAAACUUUUAUUUUUUUAUGAAUUGCUAAAAUGCAUUAAAUAUAAAAAAACAGCAUAAUGCUAGUGUAGCUUUCUGAAUCCACCAACAUAGGUGCAAAAACUCAUUUUCUUUUCUGAUGGAAGAGAAGAGAACAAUGGCAAGAUUAAGAUUUUCCGAAUGGCUUCAGGUAAUUUCUUAAGAUUAUCACGCACAAGACAUCCAAUAGAUUCAAUCUCUUCUUCACCAUACGUAAAUACCAUGUCCCGCCUCCAAAUGUAUCUAAUAGUAACACAAUGAAGUUGUCAAGAGCUAAAAAAAAUUAAUAAGUACCAACAAGAAAAUAGAAGCGCAGUAGACCCUAUGGCCCCUGUUACUAGUUUGAUUGAUUAUGCAGAGAUGUUUUACCACUUGCUUUUAAUUUUUGUGUUCAAAUGUCAUUCUAAACCCAGUAGUUUUGUUAGCAUGGGCAUGUAGGAAUCAAGCUUAGGCGUUUAAACACUGGAAAAAAGAAACACAACAGAACUACUAGCUGUUGAUGUGUUUCAAAUUAGAUAAAGUGCUAAGGUUGCUAGAGGACAUGGUCUGAAAGUACAAGUCUGAGGAGAUCAUGGACUCCUCUAGGAGGUGAUUGAGGACUUGAAGUUGAGGUUUAAGUUUUCAACUUGUGGCCAUCGGUGAUACCUACUUCUGUCGUGAACAUGAACCUAGGUCACAAUGGUGAAGAGUGGUCGGUGUACUGUUUUUCUAAUGUAGCAGGUCAUGCAGGGAGACGCUAUGGCUUACUGGUGGUGGUAGUCGCUAGAUGGCUAAGAAUGAAGAAGACGACACAUACUAGAAGAUGUGAGGGAAAGAUGUAAUUCGGUUUUUGAUGGUGAAAGGUUGUUCUCAGUGAAAACACGAAACGAUUUGGUACGCAGUUCGUGGCCUUCUGAGCGAAUCCCUAAUUUGUAAGCCAAUCAACACAUACAAAAUUAGACAUGAAUUUAAUACGUACUUAUACUUGAAAUUAUGGCUUGAUGCUCCCACAUACUUGAAAUUAAGGAUUGACACUUCCAUUGAUGGCCAUCGGUGAUAAGAGGAGGGGGUGUGGGUGAGGAUUUUUCUGUCGUGAACAAGGGGAAAGCGGACCGAUGUUGCAAUGGUUAGGAUUUUUUAAGGCGUGAAGGACGGCGAUGUAGCUUGCCGGUGGUGGUAGCCGGUAGAGGGCUAAGAGGGAAGAAGGUGAGGCCGUGAGGGAGACCGGAAGAUGGGAAGGAGAGAUGAACUCGAUUUUUAGGGGAGGAGAAAGAUACUAUGGAUGAUCGAGGAAUCGAUUUUGACUGAUUAAUGAUUUCUAGAACAAAG